CCAGACACUAACAUCUGCAACAGACUUUAAGAUCCUUGGAUGAGAGUUGCUACAUACAUUAUUACACACAUCCCACAUGCAGCCUAAGUACUUUUUUCAUAUCAAUUACUAGUUAAGCACUCAUGGGCAUGGAGAUGCAAGAGGCACAAAGAAAGACACAGACCCCACCCAGAGGAAUUUUCAGUCUAAAGCCUCCUACUUGUAUCCGUCUUGAAAGAGCAAUAGAAAUGGCUUUUUUGGCAGCAUUCAUGAGCAAUAAAAACCUGCAGCUGCUCAGCUUUGUCAUCAACCAGCAGUUAGUACUGAAUAAAUAAUAACAGGAGAUACUAAUAUGGCACCUUCUGAUUUAAGGAACAGAGUUUUCAGAUGUGCUAAGGAGAUUAUGGCCCAUUUUCAAUCUAGGGGCAGACUUUCAAAGGUACAUGGCUGCCUAAGGGAACAGUAAAUUUAAUCCUAGUGAAAUGUAUUAGGUGGAAGAAUGGAAUCUACACAGAACAGCUACAACUAGGGCAGUUGCAAGGAGAACCUAGGAGCCCGUUACAGGACUUUAUUGUGCCAGAUCUUGCGGGGUCCUUGAAGGAACAAUCCAGGCCUUUGUGGAGGCCGAGAAUGUCAUGUGAAAAGAAACCUCCCUGCAAUGACCAAUGAUGUAACUUAUCAUCUGCGUUCUUUUUGUCCUUAAGGGCGCAGCAUAAGCUAUGAGGCAGGCCUGUAACGGACUGGCGCAGUUUGGGACUGGGAUCUUACCACAACAGGCUGGCAUACGGGGGAGGGCAACAAGAGCCUCAGAACUCCCUGUUUUGUAAAGUUUGAUCAGAAGAGGCUGCAAAACAAAACUAAACUAAAAAAAAACCCCCCAAAGGAUCUGAAAUAGGAGGCAAAGAGUACAUCACUGACUGGUGGUCUGCCAGUUAUCUCAGGUCGCAGGGAUAAUGUUGAGAGGCAAGAAUUUUUGUGGGUGAUAUCUUUUAUUGGACCAACUGUAUGGUUGGUAUAGUAAUAGGCAAGCUUUCUGGUAUCACAGUACCCUUUGUCAGGGAUAAAUGUUGGAUGCUCUCUGGAAACAAUACCAUGGAAGGAGGGAGGGGAGUGAUAUUAGUAGUCAUUAGUACUUUCUUUCCUCUAGCCCAGCUCUGACAAUGCACCUAUCCCAAAGCCUCUCCAAGGCCCUGGAGAGACUCCAGCUGAGUCUACUGGGCUUUGAAGUAAGCUGUGAAUGUGGAACCCCUAAAAUGUAGCUAAAGUACCUAGUUUCUGAUGAACAGUAGAGUGGUCUCACAGGAGCCUGGAUGCACUGUAGUGAAAAUGUCUGCAGUUGUUCCCUUUCAGUGUUGGAGAGAGGGAUGGGAACAGGGGAAUGUGGAUCCACAUCUUUGCCACCCUUCCCUGCCCCACACACCCACCCACCUCUGCCCCACCUGCCAGGAGAGUAUCAGGCCAUGUCUGUUAGGAUGAAGAUCCUUCAGGAGCAGCCACAGUCUGUUUGCAUAUGUGCCCCAGGAUGGAGCUGGCAGGCUAGAUAGGCUGGGCAUUUCAGAAUUGGCUCACUAUCCUAGAUUUAUCUUCCUAUGUGGCGGCAUUUCAGAGGCAGAGGGGUUGGCCUAGUAGUGUGUAAAGCUCAGACUGGAUGUGCUGCCUCAAGUAACCUCAUGAAGCUCUGGAUGCUUCUUCAAGCCCCUAGAGCGGGUAGCAUUGGGCUUGGCAUCCUUGUCCGGUUUUGUGCUUUCAGAUCAAACUCUCUACCUCUCCCACCCCACCCUGUUGAAUGUCCUCUCUCUUGGGAUUGAACUUUCCCCCUACUAGAGUCAGGUCUUCAGGGUCACAAGAAAAACCAAAAGGAAUGUAACAAAAUAUAGAGAUGCAGUUCGUUUGAAGAAAAAGCGUGGAUUGGUUUUGCUCACCCCCAGUAUUACCCGAGCCAGAACCCAGGCUUGCAAACAGCUACAAGUUCCCAGCACAGGGUGGGGAGCCAUGCUUAUGGGGGGGUGCAAGGAUCCAAAGAUUGUAUAGAUGUAAAAACAGAAGAGCCCUCUCCAAGGUAUAAAGGCAGUACUCAUGGCUAUAGGGCUAGAGCUCAGGGUCCAAGGCAAAACAGAGCAGCUUACACUGUGGGUGCUGACGGAUGUGCACCUCCACACUACUCAUGGCGCUUCACAGAAAGCACCAUGAGUUUGCUCCCCCCCCUCCACGCACACAGACAUUUACUGUUGGGUCAGGGGCAUGGGGGAAUUGAGCUCUACUUUGGAGCCAAUCCAGGAGUUGCUGCCUUUCUCCCAUAACACCCCUCCCCUCUCCCCCCCCAGCUCUGGUGCUGUCUGAAGGAUGGGAGUGGGGAGAAAGGAGCGGAGGGGGCUCAGGCUGGGGUUUGUCCAGUCCAGAGGCAGGCAAUUAUUUUGGGGAGAGGGCCGCUUACUGAGUUUUGGCAAGCCAUUGAGGGCCACAUGACAGGCAGCCCAGGGCAGAUAAAUAUUUAAUUUUCUAAAUUCUUUAGGGGCCCCGCAGGCCAGAUAGAAUGGCCUGGCAGGCUGCAUCCGGCCCCAGGUCACAUUUAGCCCACCCCUGGUCCAGCCUGAGCUGGAGGAAGGGCAGGUGAAUUGGAGCGGUCCUGAGAGACACCUGUCCCAGGCCUGUCUGUACCUGCUACUCCCCAGAGUCUCCCCAUCUAAUAACUGGCAGUUAAUAGUUCCUGAGUCUCGCACUCUGGUGGUGUUUUUUUGAACCCCCAGCUCCUGGAGUCACAUGAUUGCAACAGAAUCUCAUUCUUCUUUAAGUUCAAGGUCUAUUCUAACCUUGGUGACAGGAAAACCUGAAAACUCCACAUCAUCAAGCUGCCAAAACUAGGUGGAUAAUGGAUUAAACGCUCACUAUUUCUUACAUUCUCCUGGUGGUUUUUGGCUGGACCUGACUUGCAGUCUGCGAAUGUGCAAGGUGGGUGGUGCCACAAUCAGCUUUUGUGUUUGAAAGGUCAGUGCCCACAGAGAGAGCCAGCUUUGUUCUUACUGCUCUCCCCUCUAAGAGAACAAACUAGGUUUCCAGAAAUAUUCCCUUCUGGCCUUCCAUCAGUCCUGCAAGGCACCAGAAUAACCUGGGUGAGGCAGGGGGAGCCUACUGGGCCUUGUUAAUCAUUAUCCUGUUGCACUUUGUCUUCAGCAAGGCAGGCACCUUGAGGCUAUAGGACUUGGAUAUAGAGGCUUCCCCUGCACAGAUCCUUUAUACACAGAUCUGGAACUGCUGGUCUUCCCAAUCCCCACAGCACAGGCUAAGCUCUGGGCAAGGAAGACAGGAUGUGACAAGAGCAGGUAUGCUUCUGCAGUCCUACAAGGCUCAUUGAAUUAGAGGUGCCAGUUGGGGCUGCUGAAGCCUACCCCAAGCCUUGCACUGGCUCCCACAGACCCUUAUAUGCCUGCCUUUCCAACCUUUAGUUAAUUCUUGCUCCAGAAGGAAGUUGAAUCUGCCCCAGUGAACACUCCUGCAGCCAGGGUGGGACUUGUUUCCUCUAUAGAGCCACAAACAGGCUGAUUGCAUAUCUACAGACCCUCACCCAGAUCUUCAUGGCUUUAGUGAGAAGCAGCUCCAUUAUCUGGUCCCACCAACUGCAUGUUUAUGUUCAGGGGUAUAGGUUGUAGCUGUGUUGGUCUAAGGACAUAGGUAGACAAGGUUCUUUGGAUAAAUCUGAAAUAAAAGAUAUUGGAUUUACUUAAAGAUAUUGCAUUUACCCAAAGAACCAUGUCUGUGUAUGUCUAUGUUCAAUGAUGCUUACCAUAAUGAUCUUAACUGCUGCGACGGGCUAGCUGGCAGUGACUUAGCCCAGGGGUUUUGAAAGGGCAAAAGAUGAUUGAAGGACUUGGGAUUCCCUUUCCUCACCAAUCAGGCCCCAGAGACUCACCCUCCGUGUCCCCCAAUUGGCCCCUUGGGUCACCUUGAGGGGGAUAAAAGGGGCAGCGUGGCUGACUCAAGAGAGACCAGCAAGGAACCACAAGGAAGGAGCUUCAAAGAGCUGGGCCAGUGGGGUGGGAGCAGUUGCCCCAGAAGUACCUGGAGUGGGACCUGCAGGCAGCAGUUGGACCCUCAGCAGUGCGGCGUGCGGUCGGCAGGAGAGGCUCCCUGCUUGGCUCCAGGAUCCCCUAUGAGAAGGUGCGGCCAGCAGGAGAGGUUCCCCAGCUCCAGCAAGCAUCUAAGCAGUGACCUGAGAGGUCCCCAGCUCUGCUUCCAGCUCCUCCAAUAAGAGCCCAGGCAGCUCAACAUGAGGUUGGGGUUCUUAGAAGGUCAAGACCCCUUGCAGCUUAGAGCAAUACUAGCAGUGGUGGUUGUGUAGUAGAGUUUCUACCUACCAUGUGGGAGAUUCAAGUUCAAGUCCCAGUUGGGGUGAGUGAAGUAACAGUGAGAAAUCCUUGUUGCAGAGGAAAGGAGUCACUGUUUUCCCUCUUUUCCCCCCCCCUCCAGGUACCUAGGCCCUAUAUUCCUUGUUAUUUGACAUUUUGUAUUUUGUGCCUUUUAUAUUUCACCAGCCAGUAUUGUUUGUUCUGCUGUUUGUGUUUUAUAUUUUGUUAACCCUGUCUUUUGUCAAUGAUUGCAAGCAUCUAACCUUUGUUGAAUCCUGUCCCCUUGGGGCAUUGUAGUGUCCCCUAUACCCCCUGGUUUAUGCCUGUUAUGUUCCCAGUACUGUUCUCAUUAAAAGGUAUAUGGUUG